GAUGAACCCUGGCGGCGUGCCUAAUACAUGCAAGUCGAGCGAACAGACGAGGAGCUUGCUCCUCUGACGUUAGCGGCGGACGGGUGAGUAACACGUGGAUAACCUACCUAUAAGACUGGGAUAACUUCGGGAAACCGGAGCUAAUACCGGAUAAUAUAUUGAACCGCAUGGUUCAAUAGUGAAAGACGGUUUUGCUGUCACUUAUAGAUGGAUCCGCGCCGCAUUAGCUAGUUGGUAAGGUAACGGCUUACCAAGGCAACGAUGCGUAGCCGACCUGAGAGGGUGAUCGGCCACACUGGAACUGAGACACGGUCCAGACUCCUACGGGAGGCAGCAGUAGGGAAUCUUCCGCAAUGGGCGAAAGCCUGACGGAGCAACGCCGCGUGAGUGAUGAAGGUCUUCGGAUCGUAAAACUCUGUUAUUAGGGAAGAACAAAUGUGUAAGUAACUGUGCACGUCUUGACGGUACCUAAUCAGAAAGCCACGGCUAACUACGUG
rnacentral:rRNA from 1 species